UCCAGCAGCCAUAUUACCCUGCAACUAACAACUGGCAAACCACUGAAGCUAAGCAGGUGUGAGCCUGGCAAGUACUUGGAUAGGAGACCUCCUGGGAAAAACUAAGGUUGGUUCUGGAA
rnacentral:rRNA from 1 species